CGGGGUACCAUUUUCAGAGCAGUCCCUUCAAAGCAUCAGUUGCGUUCGCAUUUUUUAGAAGUGACUCAUAGCCUCAAGUCAGAUUCUGCUCAGAAGCCAGGUCCCUUCCUCUCCUUCCAGCACCUUCGGAUUGAGGAUAAGAGUUUUGAAUGAACUCUUUCUGUGAAUCUCAACAUAGUAGAGGACUCCAGCACCUUGAAACUCAGCCUGGAGAAGGGACGAUGUCUCAGUUGAUAAAGGGCUUACUUUGCAAGGGUGGUUGGAGUCCAGGAAGGUGAGGGUGCAGAAGAGGGAUGGAUGGACCAGAAGCAGAGGCAUUGGAAGAGGACUUCCUCAGGCUCCAUGGAUGCUAAAAAUGACAUUUCCCAGUUAUCUUGUGAGCAGGGAUUCUGAGCUUAGGACAUCUGGCUAGGUUUCAAAGAAUACUUUUUAGAAACCAGGCACGGUGCUGCGUGCUUAUAGCCCCAGAAUUCAGGAUGUAGAGAUAUGGGGUUAUCACAAGUUACAGGCCAAGAAGGACUCCAAAGUAAGAUCUCAUCUCAAAUAAUAAAUAAAUAAAUAAAUAAAUAAAUAAAUAAAUAAAUAAAUGGAAGGACAUUUUAAA